ensembl:lncRNA
GCAGUUCACACCUGACAGAUUCAAAUUCUCAUUACAGGAGCAGGAUUUUUGACAGACUUUAUGUUCAUGUUUGUGCUGUUUUUCAAAUCUCGACGACUGAAUGAAGUCGUGUUUAUAAGCGUGUUUGCAGUGAUGAUGGGAUUACCGGUCAUCUUUUCUAUAUUGUUUUUCAUGGUGAAAAGAUGUGGCGUCAGCUUCCCUGGUGAGUAGCAGCUUCCGUCUUCAUAUACACAUUUCACUGGUGAGUACAGAGCACAGUACAAAUAGCACAAAUAGCACAACACUGAUCUCUAUACUGAUUAUGAUUUGGGUUUAUUUGCAGUUUUAUUUUGGAUUGUCUUUGAUCGGCUUUGGAUUCUGUCUCAUCUCACAACCUUUGGAAUCGUUCUGUAUUACUUUUAUCAGGGCCUGGAGGACGCAGAUGAUGUUGGACUGAUGACUGUGGUCGUGCUGCUUCUGAUCAUCUCCAUGUGUGAUACUUUAAAUGUUUUCCACAGACCCUCAUAUCCAGAAAGUGUAAAAUGGAUUAUGUACAUAUCUGGAGCUGUGGGCCUGUGUGUGGUGAACUCCGUCACUCUGGUUGCAGAACUGGUCAUGAAAACUCGAAGUGGACACCGUGUGAUAAAAGAUCUGCGAUGGGUGGUUUUCCCUUCUGAAUGUGUGUUUGUCUUUGUCUGGUGUUCUUUAUGUUUCUACUAUUAUGAGUUUAAAAGGUAA